UACGUAGGGGGCAAGCGUUGUCCGGAAUUAUUGGGCGUAAAGAGCGCGUAGGCGGUCCGAUAAGUCGGCUGUGAAAGUCAGGGGCUCAACCCUUGAAAGCCGGCCGAUACUGUCGGACUAGAGUCCGGAAGAGGCAAGUGGAAUUCCCGGUGUAGCGGUGAAAUGCGCAGAUAUCGGGAGGAACACCAAUGGCGAAGGCAGCUUGCUGGGAAGGUACUGACGCUGAGGCGCGAAAGCGUGGGGAGCAAACAGG
rnacentral:rRNA from 1 species